rnacentral:rRNA from 1 species
UUGGGUUGUAAACCCCUUUUCUCAGGGAAGAAGAAAGUGACGGUACCUGAGGAAUCAGCCUCGGCUAACUCCGUGCCAGCAGCCGCGGUAAUACGGAGGAGGCAAGCGUUAUCCGGAAUGAUUGGGCGUAAAGCGUCCGUAGGUGGCCACUCAAGUCUGCUGUCAAAUCCUGAGGCUCAACCUCAGAUCGGCAGUGGAAACUGAGUAGCUUGAGUGCGGUAGGGGCAGAGGGAAUUCCCGGUGUAGCGGUGAAAUGCGUAGAGAUCGGGAAGAACACCGGUGGCGAAAGCGCUCUGCUGGGCCGCAACUGACACUGAGGGACGAAAGCUAGGGGAGCGAAUGGGAUUAGAUACCCCAGUAGUCCUAGCCGUAAACGAUGGAAACUAGGUGUUGCCUGUAUCGACCCGGGCAGUGCCGUAGCUAACGCGUUAAGUUUCCCGCCUGGGGAGUACGCACGCAAGUGUGAAACUCAAAGGAAUUGACGGGGGCCCGCACAAGCGGUGGAGUAUGUGGUUUAAUUCGAUGCAACGCGAAGAACCUUACCAGGGCUUGACAUGUCCGGAAGCCUGGGGAAACCCGGGUGUGCCUUCGGGAACCGGAACACAGGUGGUGCAUGGCUGUCGUCAGCUCGUGUCGUGAGAUGUUGGGUUAAGUCCCGCAACGAGCGCAACCCUCGUUCUUAGUUGCCAGCAUUAAGUUGGGCACUCUAGGGAGACUGCCGGUGACAAACCGGAGGAAGGUGGGGAUGACGUCAAGUCAUCAUGCCCCUUACGUCCUGGGCUACACACGUACUACAAUGGGGAGGACAAAGGGCAGCCACUUCGCGAGAAGGAGCUAAUCCCUCAAACCUUUCCUCAGUUCAGAUUGCAGGCUGCAACUUGCGUGCUUGAAGGAGGAAUCGCUAGUAAUCGCAGGUCAGCAUAUUGCGGUGAAUCCGUUCCCUGGCCUUGUACACACCGCCCGUCACACCAUGGAAGUUAGCCCGGCCCGAAGUCAUUACUC